UCUGGUUGAUCCUGCCAGUAGUUAUAUGCUUGUCUCAAAGAUUAAGCCAUGCAUGUCUAAGUACACACGAAUUAAAAGUGAAACCGCAAAAGGCUCAUUAUAUCAGUUAUGGUUCCUUAGAUCGUUAACAGUUACUUGGAUAACUGUGGUAAUUCUAGAGCUAAUACAUGCAAUUAAAACACGGACCUUCUGGGACGUGUGCUUUUAUUAGACUAAAACAAAGCGAUCAAUUGAUCGUUAUAUUGGUUGAACUCUAGAUAACAUGCAGAUCGUAUGGUCUUGUACCGACGACAGAUCUUUCAAAUGUCUGCCCUAUCAACUUUUGAUGGUAGUAUCUAGGACUACCAUGGUUGCAACGGGUAGCGGGGAAUCAGGGUUCGAUUCCGGAGAGGGAGCCUGAGAAACGGCUACCACAUCUAAGGAAGGCAGCAGGCGCGUAAAUUACCCACUCCCAGCUCGGGGAGGUAGUGACGAAAAAUAACAAUACAGGACUCAUAUCCGAGGCCCUGUAAUUGGAAUGAGUAUACUUUUAAUCCUUUAACAAGGACCAAUUGGAGGGCAAGUCUGGUGCCAGCAGCCGCGGUAAUUCCAGCUCCAAUAGCGUAUAUUAAAGUUGUUGCGGUUAAAACGUUCGUAGUUGAACUUGUGCUUCAUACGGGUAGUACAACAUACAUUUGUAGUUAGUACUAUUGUAGUACUUGUACUUUUUUAUUUAUUCCUCCUAUUUAAAAACCUACAUUAGUGCUCUUAAUCGAGUGUUUUUGUGGGCCGGUACAAUUACUUUGAACGAUUUAGAGUGCUUAAAGCAGGCUUCAAAUGCCUGAAUAUUCUGUGCAUGGGAUAAUGAAAUAAGACCUCUGUUCUGCUUUCAUUGGUUUUCAGAUCAAGAGGUAAUGAUUAAUAGAAGCAGUUUGGGGGCAUUAGUAUUACGACGCGAGAGGUGAAAUUCUUGGACCGUCGUAAGACUAACUUAAGCGAAAGCAUUUGCCAAAGAUGUUUUCAUUAAUCAAGAACGAAAGUUAGAGGUACGAAGGCGAUCAGAUACCGCCCUAGUUCUAACCAUAAACGAUGCCAGCUAGCAAUUGGGUGUAGCUACUUUUAUGGCUCUCUCAGUCGCUUCCCGGGAAACCAAAGCUUUUGGGCUCCGGGGGAAGUAUGGUUGCAAAGCUGAAACUUAAAGGAAUUGACGGAAGGGCACCACCAGGAGUGGAGCCUGCGGCUUAAUUUGACUCAACACGGGAAAACUUACCAGGUCCGAACAUAAGUGUGUAAGACAACAUU
rnacentral:rRNA from 1 species